ACCCCAGCCAACCUCUGAAUCUCUUCUAAUCUCUUCCUACUAAACUGAGUUCAGAACAGAUCUUUUCACUCAUGCUGCAGAGGAGAGGGUAUGGCAUUAGCGCCCCUGGGGGCCCAUCAGUGACAAGGAGAAGGAGGGGAAAAUAUCUACAGCCCCAGUGAGCAUGGAUGGCAGGAGUCCUCACAAUGCAACCUCCCCUUGCCUGUUCCCACCCCGUCUCUGAUCCAGAGGGCGACUGCAUAAGCGACUUUACUUCUGCAGCUCUUGGUCUUCUCAGCCAUCAGAAGUUCUGCAGAAAGACCUAAGGGAAGGUUUAUGCUUUAUACAUAUGCUUUUAUACAUGGAUGAUACCACGCUGUAGUGAAAAAAGGGGGAUACUGGAUUCACACUGAUAAUGUCAUACAUUAGACACUGUGAGAAGCACAGAGAUGCUGGAGCCCUCUAUUUAGCAUCUAACAGCACACCAAAAAAAACAGUUGAUAUGUUUCGGUAGUUUGGGAUCUGGGAAGAGUGUCUAGAUAACACCACUGGUGAGAAAAGACUGUACAAACGGACAGUGCUCGGUCAGCAAGAAAGGAAAACAGACUGAAGGCUGCAGCCUUCAAGCAUGCUGGUGUGUAAGGAACAGUCUUUCCACCACAGACAGGACAAGGAGAAUUGAAUUUCAACUGUAGCAAGGGAUAAUUAGACCAGAAAGUUAAGUUUCCUAAAUAUAGAUAUUGUGAGACACUGGAGAAGAUUGGGGUGCUUAUGGAAUCUUUGUCACUGGAGGUUUCUAAGAGCAGACAAGGAAAAUGCCUGUCAAAAAUGAUUUGCAUCUAAUUGAUUCUGCCUUGGAGCAGAAGAAUAGACUAGAUGGCUACUAAACGCCUGAGGCAGUCCUGUUUCCUGAGGUGCUUUUAGACGUGCUGAUCAUCUAAACAGUUCAUAAGAGCUAGAUAUUUGUUUUUAAUAACUAGCAUACCUGGCAUACUUGGCAUGCCCUUAACCAUGGUCUGGCUACAAAGGAAAAGUUGUUUUUUUCAGUCAGCUAGCAAUGUCCUAAGCAUAUUGUCUGUAUUAAAAAUGCCAUUCAUGGUACAUAUGUUUAAGAGCUGCAUAUUCAUCAGAUUGCCAAUCAACCAGAUUCAGGACAUGGAGGACACAAAAUCCCUGUUUCAUACAUUUAUGAAACCUGUGUCCCCAUGUCUGUCCUCCUUACGUUAGCAAAGAUCAGUGAUUCAUGGCAAUUAACAGCCUUGGUUGGAUUUGAUGAUACUGAAAGGAGCAGGUAAAGGUGUCAGGUCAGAGGGGAUGAAAAACCCCAGCACAGGGGACAAGCAGCAGGGACACUCUGCUCUUGGGAUUUCUGUUUACUUUCCAGCACAGCAUGAGCUCUCCUGGCUUGGCCUAUUGUAGACAUCAGAAACACACAGGUCCAGAUGAGGCAACAUGCUAAAAUCCACCGCUAAUCUGACACCCACGGGAAAACGGAGAACAAAAAGAUACCUGCUUUCUGAGGAGGAAGAGUACCACAAACUGAGAUGGUGUGCCCACCUGUAGGUGACAGAGUUCUGCAAUGAGUGGCUGAAAACACUGUUUUCACACCCAGCAAUCAACCAGCAGUGGGGGUGAAUGCAUUUAAGACGUAAGAGGAGCCUGAAGUGGCGAGCCAGCUGAGCAGGAGUUGUACAAGGCAUUCCCAGCAGAUGUCCAUUUCCCAGAGCUAACAGAAAACCUUGGAAAGCAGAAUAUAAUUUAGUACAGCCUUGAAGACACUCUGUCUUGCCCCAGAGGGCUGGAAGAUUAAAAACCAGCACCCUUCAAACAGCCUCAGUCCAGGUACCUCUGUCACUAACAACAGGGCUCAGUUUUUACUCAGAAUGAGCCUUAUGUUAAGUCUGAUCAACAAAUUUAUACAACUUCUCUUGCAAAUUUACAGUAGCAGAGAUAAAUGCAGGAGUGAUGCAAGUAUGCAAAUUAAACUCUUCCUCAGCCAUUGUUAAAGCUACCGCUUUUCCAGUGAAAAGCAUAAGAGCGUAUACUUCAUUUUGUGUAUAUAAAGAAUAGGUGCUAUGUCUGCAAAAUAUGCAUUUGCAUAAAAGCCAACUCCCUUUCUGAGAACUCUUAUAACAGGAAACUAUUAAAAUAAAGCACAAAGUAAAUGAAUAAUUUUGAGAUCUCAUUUGUAUGAACCCACUUCAUAAAAUAUGUGUACGUGUAAAGGUUAAGCCAACUGACCAUGAGAUAAAGCAAAAAGCCAUAAACUCACUGUGGAAAGAAAGCUAUUUUCAGUCAAAUUUAAAAGAAUUACUUUCUAUUCAAGGUUUCAUAUCAUGGUGUAUUAAAUUAUAGGAGUGAAAACAGGUUCUGAUUUAAGAAGACAUGGCACAGCAAGAUGCAAUGUGUCAGAAAUGUAGUUACAUACUGUACACUGAUGCUCUGCUUGUCUUCAGUUGUUGGAGGCUGACCAAAUGAAGAAGUUGAUCAUAGCCAAGAAAAUCUUAACACUCAAGAGUCCAAUCCCGCAGCUCUACUAUACAGCAGUAAAUUUUUUCCCUUGUGUAAUCAAUAGGGUGAUUUAUGUUACUUAAGAAUUCAUAGGAAGUAAAAUCCCCAAAGUAUAGUUAAGUGUCACUGAGGCUGGAGGCGAGAGCUGUCUCUGAAAAUUAGACUGUAAAGACCAUAACCACAAAUAAUAUAGGAUGAUGAAGUCUUUCAGAUGGAUGAAAAUAAUCUGUUGAGAGACCUCACCACUGUGUAGGGUGUCUCUGAAUGGCAAAUGAAGCCUGGGUGUCUUGCAACUUAAAGGUCCAAAAGGUCCAACACAAAAAAUUCAAGACUAACCUUAUUGCUCGGGAAACAAGAGUGGGAGGGCAGAGACAAAGAGAUUGCUAUAGAACAUGUUUGAACCUGUCACAGUGAGACAAAGCUCAACUCAAUUGCUUCACUUAGUGUGAGCGGAUGUGUGUUCAAAUGUAGACAUUUUCUUACCCUUGGUCAGAAAAUGUUGAUGUGUGAAAGUGAACAGAGAGUUAACAUCAAGUUUCUUCUGAAACUGAAGAAAUCUGUGACAGAAACUUUUCAAUUCUUGACUGAGGCUUAUGGUGAAGAGAUCCCAAAGAUCAGGUUGGUGCUCAAAGGAACCCAUUUUUUUUGGUAGAAGAUGUGAAAGCAAAAAUGACAGGGAUCCUCAAUAGCCUUUCAGAGAAUGAUCUGUGGAAUUGCUUUGAACGUUGGUAGCAUCA